UAAAGAAUUUCGGUCAUCGAUGGGGGUGCGUUCCAUUAGCUUGUUGGCGGGGUAACGGCCCACCAAGGCAUCGAUGGAUAGGGGUUCUGAGAGGAAGGUCCCCCACAUUGGAACUGAGACACGGUCCAAACUCCUACGGGAGGCAGCAGUGAGGAAUAUUGGUCAAUGGGCGCUAGCCUGAACCAGCCAAGUAGCGUGAAGGAUGACUGCCCUAUGGGUUGUAAACUUCUUUUAUAUGGGAAUAAAGUGCAGUAUGUAUACUGCUUUGCAUGUACCUUAUGAAUAAGGAUCGGCUAACUCCGUGCCAGCAGCCGCGGUAAUACGGAGGAUCCGAGCGUUAUCCGGAUUUAUUGGGUUUAAAGGGAGCGUAGGCGGGUUGUUAAGUCAGUUGUGAAAGUUUGCGGCUCAACCGUAAAAUUGCAGUUGAUACUGGCAUCCUUGAGUACAGUAGAGGUAGGCGGAAUUCGUGGUGUAGCGGUGAAAUGCUUAGAUAUCACGAAGAACUCCGAUUGCGAAGGCAGCCUGCUGGACUGUAACUGACGCUGAUGCUCGAAAGUGUGGGUAUCAAACAGGAUUAGAUACCCUGGUAGUCCACACAGUAAACGAUGAAUACUCGCUGUUUGCGAUAUACAGUAA
rnacentral:rRNA from 1 species